rnacentral:rRNA from 1 species
AUGGCGGUCCUCCAGGCCAAGAUGCCAGCCUUGUGCUUGCUCUUGCUCAUGGCACUGCUGUUGUUUCCUGGAUCUGAAGGCAAGACUUGCUCGGAGGUCAGCAGGACCUACACUCCUCUCUUAUGUGGGGAUGACACAUGUGCUACUCACUGCCACAAGGAGGGCUUCCCUGGAUCGAAACUUUUAUGUUGUAUUUGCUGUGAUGAGCAGAUCAACAUAGAAUUCACACAAGGCAACAUAACAAAGUUGGUGCUGGAUGUGCUUGAUAGUCUAAAAGAACCAAGCAGCUAG